AGAUAGAGCCUUCCCCUUCGGGGGACAAAGUGACAGGUGGUGCAUGGUUGUCGUCAGCUCGUGUCGUGAGAUGUUGGGUUAAGUCCCGCAACGAGCGCAACCCUCGUUCUAUGUUGCCAGCACGUGAUGGUGGGAACUCAUAGGAGACUGCCGGGGUCAACUCGGAGGAAGGUGGGGAUGACGUCAAAUCAUCAUGCCCUUUAUGUCUUGGGCUUCACGCAUGCUACAAUGGCCGGUACAAAGGGCUGCGAUCCCGUGAGGGGGAGCGAAUCCCAGAAAGCCGGUCUCAGUUCGGAUUG
rnacentral:rRNA from 15 species